rnacentral:rRNA from 1 species
GAUGAACGCUGGCGGCGUGCCUAAUACAUGCAAGUCGAGCGAACGGACGAGAAGCUUGCUUCUCUGAUGUUAGCGGCGGACGGGUGAGUAACACGUGGAUAACCUACCUAUAAGACUGGGAUAACUUCGGGAAACCGGAGCUAAUACCGGAUAAUAUUUUGAACCGCAUGGUUCAAAAGUGAAAGACGGUCUUGCUGUCACUUAUAGAUGGAUCCGCGCUGCAUUAGCUAGUUGGUAAGGUAACGGCUUACCAAGGCAACGAUGCAUAGCCGGCCUGAGAGGGUGAUCGGCCACACUGGAACUGAGACACGGUCCAGACUCCUACGGGAGGCAGCAGUAGGGAAUCUUCCGCAAUGAGCGAAAGCCUGACGGAGCAACGCCGCGUGAGUGAUGAAGGUCUUCGGAUCGUAAAACUCUGUUAUUAGGGAAGAACAUAUGUGUAAGUAACUGUGCACAUCUUGACGGUACCUAAUCAGAAAGCCACGGCUAACUACGUG